AACCUCCUCAAUGCACUGAAGUGUGAAGGGGUUACCUCGAGUGCCAUCUGAAGAAGGCGGCUUUUCCUUGGUCUAAAAAGCCAUGGGAAUAAGAGGGGGGCAAGACUGGUGUCAGCCGCCGCGGUAACACCAGCCCCUCGAGUGGUGGGGAUGAUUAUUUGGCCUAAAGCGUCCGUAGCCGGCCGAGUAAGUUUCCCGUUAAAUCCAGCGUCUCAAGCGUUGGGCUGCGGGAAAUACUGCCCGGCUAGAGAGUGGGAGAGGAAAGCGGUAUUCUGGGGGUAGGGGCGAAAUCCUUUGAUCCCCGGAGGACCACCAGUGGCGAAGGCUGCUUUCUAGAACACGUCUGACGGUCAGGGACGAAAGCUGGGGUAGCGAACCGGAUUAGAUACCCGGGUAGUCCCAGCUGUAAACGAUGCACGCUAGGUGUUGGGUCGGCCACGCGCCGCCCCAGUGCCGCAGGGAAGCCGUUAAGCGUGCCGCCUGGGGAGUACGGCCGCAAGGCUGAAACUUAAAGGAAUUGGCGGGGGAGCACCACCAGGCGUGAAGCCUGCGGUUU
rnacentral:rRNA from 1 species